rnacentral:lncRNA from 11 species
GCUGGAGCUAACAGUGGGGGCUCUCUCCGCUCCCCCAAUUCAAACCUGUGGCCUUUCAGUCCAGAAGUUCAGCAGCUCAGCGCUUUAACACGCUGCGCCAUCAGGGGAUAUUAUUUCCUAAAGGUUGUGAAUAUGCAAUAUUUCUGAUUGGUUUUUUUUUGUUUGUUGGAGGCAAGUAUGAAUGCUGCAAUUAGGAAAAAUGAUUAGGAUGUAAUGGCCUUGCAGCUUUAAAGCCUGGCUGUUUCCUCCCUGAGUGAAUUUUUUGUUGGGAGGUGUUAGCUGGCCCUGAUUGUUUCCUGUCUGGAAUUCCCUUGUUUUCAGAGUGGUGUUGUUUGCGAUAUUUUAUGUGCUUCUACUGUCUGUGGCCCUGAGAAAACAGGAUUUGCCAGACUUUGAUGAUGGGAAUACUUUGUUGGGAGGUGUUAGCUGGCCCUGAUUGUUUCCUGUGUGGAAUUCCCCUGUUUAUUUACUGUCCUGGUUUUAGAGAUUAUAUUGUUCUGCAUUAUUCUACACUGCCAUAUAAUCCAGUGCAAAUUAGAUAAUCUGUGGAAGAAGUCUAAGUGAGGCCUAAAUCUGCCUGUCCCCUAACUGAAACCUGGCUGUCCCUUGGUUGCUAGGCAACCAAGUGGGCAGAGAUUAGCCCUCUAAACUGGCAGCAAUUGGAUAAAAAAAUUAUUGCUCUCCCUCUAAUUAGGACUUUAUUUUUCUUUUCUUUUUGUUGUAUCAACCUUGAGGUGUGGAUGAUGGGUUGUGUUGUCAAAUUUUGAGGUUUGGGGGCCUGUACUUUUGUUGUUUUGUGAAUUGCCGUGAUGCCAUCACUCUUUUAUAUAUAUAGAUUUUAGAAGGUGACACUGGAGCCUCCUUGUGUUAUGGACUCCCACAGGUUUGCUCUUAUCCUACCUUCCCAUGCUUCAGAAACAGUGGUUCUCAACCUGUUUGUCCCCAGGUGUUUUGGCCUACCACUCCCAGAAAUCCCAGCCAAUUAACCAACUAUUAACUGGGAAUUGAAGGCCAAAACCUCUGUUUAGAAGAUGCUGAUUAUGUCCAAGGUUGCC